rnacentral:lncRNA from 7 species
AGAAGAGAGGUAACAAAUGAGAUCACCCACACUCAGAUGAUACCAAGCUUUUUCCGAGUAGCUAAAUUCCUCUGCCCCACUGUGACACAGGAUUUAUUUUCAGAGAGAUGAGUGACUGCUGGAAGACAAAGCUGGUUUCACAACACCCUGCUUCUAUUUCUCAUUUCACGAAAGUCCUUUAGCAUGACCUUGGGUGAAAUACAUCAUCUCAGAUGUCCAAAGAGUUAGCUCUGACGGUCUCUGGAGGAAUUUGAGAAGUGUGAAGGUUGGAAAUGAAUCAGUUAUGCAUCAGCUACAUUUUAUACUCUUGUCCUGAGAGUAAAGCAGUUAUGGACUGGGCUCCUGGUUCCAGAAUGACAGUCUUCUAGGAAGAGUAGUUGCAUGAUCUGUGCAGGAAAGCCAGUGUUUCCCUUCACUAUCUCCUCUGCAAACAGAAGAAAAGUCAGCCUAUGUUGUUACUGCUUUUCCACCAUUGCUGCUUAUUCCUGUGGAGGAACCCAACUAAAAAGAUCGAUCGCCUGGAGGAAGCCCAUGGUUUCUGUAUGAAUGCUGGAGAAAAAAAAACUGCUCUUGAAGAACUGGUAUGUAAAGACAUGAAAAUUAACUAUUUAUAGAAGUUGUGAUUGGCUAAAUGUUAGAAAAACUCGAAAAUGUUGAUCAAAGGAUAAUACUUAAAUAAUUGGAUUUGAAAUGAAGUUAUUUUCUUGCUGAAAUUGCAUAUCUGAUACUAUGUUGUGUUCUGUAAUGUUAUCCUGUUCCCAGCGCACUUUCAGGGAUAUGAUGAACUGCACAGUUUAUUUCUAAGUAGAGCUUCAAUGAAGAGGGUGGCAUCAAUAUAUCCUGUUAGAAAAGCUAGUUAAUUUUAGUGUUAAUGAGAAGUACAGUUGGUCUCUCAAGGUUCUAAUUGCUUAUGGAAUCUCAGAAAAAAGUUUUACGUGAGUUAGUGUUAGGAGAUGUAUAUAUUAUUCUAUUCCAGAGGGUCUUCACAAUGAUUUUGUCAGAUACAAACACUCAUUCUUGAGUAUCAAUAGGGAUUUCACUUCAAACAUGCUUCUAAUUACCAAUAGCUUUUUAAGUAAUACAGAAUAGCCACUGUGUGAGGGCUCUAUAUAAUACUGCCAUUCAAUGUAUUUCUCCCUACUGUGUUAAUGAAAUGACUGUUUUUGAGAACUCUUACAAGGUAAGUGAAUUCUAUUGAUACUAUUUGAAGUAGCUGUGUUUUGCCAACGGCAUACUGAGGCACAUUUUAGGCUUUUUGGGUGACUUCUAAGUGGGCAAGUGUCUACACUUCAGUAUUUGCAAUAAAUAAAAAUAAGGAAAAUCUCAUGGAAGGAAGUAGUAAUUUCUCUUCCUCUGUAAUAACAUUCAAUAACGUUCCUCUGCAACAUCAUGUCCAUACAUUACGUAAUGAGGAAAUGUGAUCCAUUCCUUCCAGAAUAAAGCUUGCAGGGAAUUGCAGUGAACUUUUGUGUAAGUUAAACUUUGCUUGUAAUGAUAAACUACUAUUACAUGCUCUGCUGGUGUAGAAAAUGGCAUUUUACUUGGAGAUGAGUUACUUUUAGAAUUAUUUUAAUAAUUGUACACUUGUACAUCCAAAUCAAUUUCUGAUUAGUAUAAUCCUAUGCUUUUGAAAUGAAGUUGCCUUGUAUAAACAUGUUUAGUCCUGAUUGAAUUUUAUUCUCCCAUUUAACGAAUACUGUUCAAUCAUAGUGUUCUAUCACUUAAUUAACAUGUCUUUAACUCGGAUUUUGUACAUGUCAAUCAAAUUCAAAGGAAAAAUACAGCAAAGAAUCUGCCUGGCAAACAAAAUACUUAAAUGAAGUAAAAGUAAAUUGAAAAAUGAAGCAAAGUAUUUUUAUCAACAGUAGACAGGAACUCUUCUUAUCAUUCUUUUUCCUGCGUGUUUCAGUUGAGUAUUUUAAGAAGUCAUGUUUAUGUUGUUUCUUAAAUAUUAUACGAGCUCU